UACGUAGGUGGCAAGCGUUGUCCGGAUUUACUGGGCGUAAAGAGCGCGCAGGCGGUCGUUCAAGUCGCGUGUGAAAGCCCCCCGGCUCAACUGGGGAGGGUCACGCGAUACUGAUCGACUGGAAGGCAGGAGAGGGUAGUGGAAUUCCCGGUGUAGUGGUGAAAUGCGUAGAUAUCGGGAGGAACACCAGUGGCGAAGGCGACUACCUGGCCUGUUCUUGACGCUGAGGCGCGACAGCGUGGGGAGCAAACAGG
rnacentral:rRNA from 1 species